GGGGGAUAUCGAUUCCUUACUCUGCCAGAGGUUUAAGCAGGCAUGUGAGGAAUCUGCACCAUGGUUGGCAGAGAGAGACCCAUCGCCUCCUGUAACCAGACACUGGGGCUUUCCAGGAGCCCAGGGAGAGAGCCGAGAAGAAAGGGGGCAGUGUGGUCUAGGAAAAUUCAACUUGUCGCUGAUUUGUGCCUGAUGCUUGCUGUCCGUCAGCAGCCUCCCUUACAUGCUUUUUUCCUCUCUCUCCUUUUUUCUCCCCUUGCCUUCUUCUUCAGCGAAGCCUAGGGGAGCCAGUAAAGAUUAAAUGUGCUUUCUCAAAGGCAGCCACUUCAUGCUGCUAUGUCGAAAGGGCUAUUAUUAUUAAUAAAAUGAGAGAGAGAGAGAGAGAGAGAGAGAGAGAGAGAGAGAGAGAGAGAGAGAGAGAGAGAGAGGUUUCAUGAUGACGGACUGGCUCUUUGGAGAGGAAAAGGAAAAGGCGAGAAAAGGAAAGAAGGAGAGCUGAAUGGUGGACUGUACAUGAGCAGAACCUACAGAGGUGAGGAAAAAAAGUUGCGUGUGGGUGUUCUAAACAGACCCUGUGCCUGUGCAGGGGAAAAGAGACACGGUUUAGAGGGCUGGCUGGCAUGAUUCUAGUUCUUCUGGCGGGGAGGAGGUGAGCCUGGAGCUCUUACUGUUCCUAGUUGUAUAUGAAAAUAUAUUAAAAAUAGUUUUUUUCUUUUCUUCUUUCUUUUUCUUUUUUCUUUUUUUUUACUCCGACUAGAAGGCCCCUCCAGUGUCUUCCUUAGGGCCGAUGCUUUGUUACUCUGUGCCCAGCCAGCCAUCUACUCUGCUCAGGCCUGGGAUAAAAGAAAGAAAGGAGCGGGGUGAGGGGAAAGAAAUUUUUAAAAAAGAAGCAUCUUCCCGUCGGUCGGCUUCCCCUCCCUUUCGGGUCUUUUUUUUUUUUUUUUUUUUCUUUUUCUUUUGAGUCUGCACAGGAAAGCUGAGCUUCCAGGCAGAGGAGGUUGGGAAAAGCGAGCCACUCUAUCAGGUAGAGCAUAGUGGCUGUCUGUGAAGAUGGAGGGGGAUUAUGCCUUGGAUUCCUCUGAAAUAUUGGCCAAAGGCUUCAAAGGAUCCGCAGCGGGAGGCGAGGGUGGGGGGAGCAUCUCCCCAGCUCGCACCCACCCCUUCCCACUUUGAGUCUACCAAAUGACAGGCUGGUGCUCGCUCUGGGUGAUUUUGGCCUUGGCCUCAGGCAAGCAGCUGAUGCAGAGGAGGGCCCAGUUUGCAAGGCUGACAGAACUCUCUGCAUGUUAGAGAAACAAGAAGGAAAAGAAAAAAGAAUUUUUUUUUACAAGCAAUCCUUGGGAAAUUUUCUCUUUCUCUCUCGAUUUAUUCAAUUUUAAUUUUUUAACCGACUGUUUUCCAAAUUUGAUCAACCCCAGCCCCUCCCUCUACUCCCACCCAACUGCCUCUCCCCCCACCCCCACUCCUGGUCAAAGCAUAAACCACAGAGUUACGGUCUGGUCUUCUCUCGAUUUUGGAGUAUCGCUUCCUGCCCCCGCCUUCCCUCCCCGCCCCAUUCUCUGUCCUAUUGAACACCUCGCCCAGCCUAGCGCACUGCGAGCUCACAUUCUCCCCCCCGGGUCCGGAUGGUGCUCCUGGAAGCUCUGCAGCCGGGCUCCACUUCAAAUGGAUCUAAUAGAUGGCCAACGCUUAGCUGUUCAGUAGACUUCCUCAGUGUGUAGAGAUCUACUGAUGGCUCCACUGGGGAGCCUCUUCCGGCAAGCUGGCCCAUGAGGAUCUACCUAUCAAGAAAAAAAAGCCAGGCAGAAGCACAGUGAGUUGUUUGGCCAGCCUGGUACUUGGCUAUGUGCAGUAGGUAAUGAGAUUGUCAAGACAAACUUGGAGAAUUAUGAUUACUGAGCAAGGCAAUUUGAGGGUCUCACUUUUUGCUUCUACAUUCAAAUUACAAAAGGGAUCCCAAAAGAGCCUUGUGUUGAGUAAAAGGCCCUACUUGACUACUCAAUGCAAGUUGGUAGGUAUAGAACCAAAAAAACAAAAGUGGUCUGUAAAAUUUUAACAUGUGACAAGCAUACAAAAUCUGUUCAUUUUCCUACUGUCUGCUGCAUAUUCAACCCUCAAAAUUCAUUUUGAUAGUGUUUAUACUAUAUAAAAACCUUUUUUUUGCAUGGGGUUGAUCUGUGUAACUCCAAAGCAAUGAAUAGUUUGGUUUUUGUCUUCUCACAUAUUCUUAGACUUUCCAUUAAUUACUAUCUAUAUGAAUCAUAAAAGUAUUAUAUACAAUGUUUUUCCUUAUUACAAUAUCAUGCUAAUUUAUUCACAAUUGAAUAUUGCAUGGAUGCCAAAAGCUUAGCACCCCAUUCUCAAUAUCAUUGUUUAUAAAAUACAUUGCCCAUUCAGUGUGCCUAGAUCAUUGAUGCAUUUUGAUUGUGUGAGUAUAAUGGAGAAGCUUAUGUCAAAGGCUUUAGUUAAAUUAAAACCACCUGCAAAGUACUUCUCAUUCACAACAACUCCUGCAGAGUAAGAAAGUAACAUUAAUACCCCUCUUCUCAAAUAUCCUUAUCUGUGAAGUGAUUGGGUCAGACUAGGUAGAUUCCCAGUUCUUACAGCCCUCAGAAUUGUUGAAGCCAUUUUACAGUAUGUGGGUAAUAGGAAUAAGGCCAGAACCCAUGAACCCAGAGUCUUUUGGUAUCAUCAGUUGCCCUUCAAAGUUACACCUGAUUCUACCUCCGGGUUCAGUAUUUACUAAUCUGUUUUGCUCUCUUGAGAAAGCACUGAAGAUUGGAGUUCAUUUUCUGGAAGGGAUGCUGACUGAAAAAGCAACAGCCUAGGGGCAAAAUAAAAGAAAAUGAAAAUAAAAGUAAAGCGACCCAAUGGGAGAAGUGAAUUCUUGAUCCCAGUUAUAAAACCACAUCCUUCAAUAUUGACUUGGAAGAUGCCCAAACAGACACCUGCCUUUCUGUUUUAGGCCACACCCUAUCUACCAGCUCUUCUGCGCUCCUGUCAUUCCUUGUAGUGUGGUUUGUUUUCUCCAUUGGAUUGGUGCCUUUAAGUUUUGUGUUUCUUGUUCUCCUUGGUUCAUUUGAAUUGUGGUAAUGUUCCUUUUAUUGGUCUACAAUGGUCACUGGACCACAACACACUUUCCAAAUGAAACACUGACAUGUUCAAAGUCUCCUGGAAACGGCCCCACCUCGGUUUUUUUUUUUUCUCAAACCACCUGGAAUGUAGAACUUUCUUUAUUAAGGCAGACUUCAUUCCUCAGUCUGGACACCAUUAAUAUGCUUGUAUCUGACUACUUUUCUUCCCGUGUGCCUCAAUAUUCCGGUAACUCCGGCACUCCUUCAUUACUUUUGCCCUCUUUUCCUUUCUCCUACUUUCUCUCCUUCUCUUCCCUCCAUUUCCCCUCCCUCCUUCCAUUCAUGCACCUCUUUCUUCUUUCUUUCCCUUCCUUUCUCUUUCUUAUUACUCUGCUGCCUCCUUCCCCUUCUGCCACUCUCCUUUUCUUUAAGUACCAUUGCCAAGUUCAAUGCCAGGCACUGGAUAGACCAAGACAAUUAAUGCCUAAUAAUUCCAGUGCCUUCAUUCACUCCUGCAUUGCUAAACAGUUAAGCACCUACAGCCAACUCAGGUCAUCAUCAUUCCCAGGACUUACUUGAAUGUGUCCUGAUGUCCUUUUCUCUCUGCCUGUGUGUUCUGUUUCAGUGAGGGUAGAUUCGAAGCAUGCUUCUCAGUAGGGCUUUUUUGUCCACACUGGGACAAGACCACUGCUUGACUGAUCCUUGAGCAAGGGGAACAAUGAAUGAAAGUCACUUUUUUGUUGUUCAAGUGAUGUAACAUUUCUGCUGCAGUUAUAAAUAGCAUUGUCCCUAAGGUGUCACAAAUUCAUCUCCAUUGAACAGUCAAUGUGAUAACUGUCUGUGACAUGUUCUAUUAUGUUUUUAGUUGCACUGAUGUUCCUUUCAGCUGGUCCUAUAGCCCCCUUCCUCAGGAAUAUCUUCCCAGUGAAAGGAUAAAGACUACAGAGACUGCUAGACUGAUGGACAUUCAUUCCAACUGUGAAGUUGAAACAAAGCAAGUGACCACCUGAAGAUACCUCAGCAGCCACCCAUAUGGUACAGUUGGAGCCAAUAGUAAUCUUUGCAAGAAACAGAAUGAUGCAGACAAUUGAUGAGUCAAGAACAUGCCCUUCCUUGUGUGUAUUUGUCUGUCUGUGUUCAAGAUUCACUUGCCAUCUAUUUUUGGUCCUAGUGUAGAUAUGCUUAUUAGUGUGUUUGUGUAAAGGCAACUUUGUACCAGUGUGUUAAUGUAUGAAGAGACUGAAUUUUCUGUGGAGACUAAUUUUUAUCAACAUAUAGUAUUUGUUCCUGAGAGAGAUCUAGAAAAUGAAAAACAAUGUUGUCAUAGGUGACCCACAGAGACAUUUAUGCCACCACGCAGAAACACCACAUCAUGCCCCCAGACUCUGAGCAGCAAGUUUGCCUUUGUGACAUAUGGCAGCUGCUUGUGAAGGUUAGGAUACAAAAGCUACCUAAAAUGUAGUGAUAAACUGAGUCGGUAGACAGUAAGAGCAGAAAUAAAAUGAAAGACAAUGGCUUGCCUAAGGGAGAAUGUUGCCCUAAAGAGAAAUAUGAAAUGAAUCAUAAAGGGUAUAAAAAUUUAGAUAAAUGGGUAGAUAGGAGAAAAUAAAGUCUUUAAGGUGGACAUAAUAGUAUUCUAGGACAUGGUGGAGGAAAUCCACAUGGUGAAUUUUGGGGGUUGCAAAUACUCAUGUCAACUUGAUUCCACCCAAUAAUCAGUACCCCAGAAGUCACCUAAAGCAAACUACAACUAAAGUUCCAGUUCUCUGUCACUAGAAAGGUGAAGGUGAUUGAUAGCACCUGUGCAGAACUCAAGAUUCUUCUGUUCACAGUUGCUAGCUACCAAAUUUGCUCCAUAUAGAAAGUAUUUUGCCUAAUAAAUCUCAUGAAAACCAUGAAAAUUACACAUUAUCCCUUGCUUCCCAGGUGAUGAAACUGAGUUUGGCUAGGGUGCUAUCACAAAACACAUGAGCUGAAGCCUGAAGUCAGAAUUUUGUGAUCAGUACCAACAUUGUUGUCCCUUUCCCUAUAGUCAUUAAUGUCUGUCUAUGGAAACAAAUAGUUCUUCUGCUUAUUUAUUGUCUCAAUGAUCUCUUCAAAUACAUUUUUAUUUGAAUUACACCAGAAUGAUAAAUGUAUUUCAUGACAGAAGAUCGAAAAUUUAGUGGUGGAGAGCUUGCUAUCAUUUUAGACAUUUCCUUUUGAUUUUGGUCUGACAUAAUGAGAUUUUUGACUUAGUUCUGCAAGAAAUCUCAAAGUUUUAAGGGUGGUGGGCCUUGAGUUACCUGUUACAAUAUCUUUUUGACAGAAAACAUAAAUCCAUAGCCUGUAAGCUGAGUAACUUAGAAAAAAAAAACCAACCCAAAUGAACAAAAUAAAACAAACCACAUAUUUGGAAGUGUCCCAGCAAUGACUAGAAACUAGGUCCUCAGUUAUCUUUCAAUGGCUUUUAAACUACUCCACCAUGCCCUAAAGAAGCAUGGACUUAUAUUUCAUUAAAAAAGGCAUUCUGCCUAUGCGAUUAAGGAAUGCCUCUUAGAUUGGAUCUAGUAGAUCUCAUCAGUUCCUUCCCCUCUUUGGCACCUCAUGUCACUGUGAAAAACAGCUAUGAAUUAGUGUAUUUGGGUCAAGAAGUUGUCAAUGAUCUGUCCCCCAAAAAUACAGAUAGCCACAGUUGUACAUAUACUAUAUCUUUAAUAAUAUUCCCAAUCAUGAAGUCAUUGGUUCACUUGUAUAGAUCCAAUCUCCCAUUGUACAUCUUCUCAAUGGUCUUGACCAAUGACCAACUUUUGUAAAUGCUGAGAAUGCUUAUCCAUGUCUAUUUCAGUAAUACUUAAGUAUUAACAAUGGCCACUAGUCAUUUUGUGUUGUAAUCCUCAUUUAUUCACUUUCAGCCCCUCUGUUCUUGAUUGGCAUUUAACAGUGGUUAAUAAAGUGAUCAUCUAGUUAACAUAGAUGUUCAAAUUGUGAUUUUCGUCUCAAAGGAGACAUUUAAGCUAGGUCUGCUAAGGGACAGAUACCUAACUUUUUGAGAGACCUGGAUAUUUAACUGAUGUAACAUUCUACUUCGCUGUUUGACAUAGUCAUAUGUAGCCCCCAUCAUGGCUCUAGCUGUCUUGUUUUCAAAGUGUUGUGUCUACUCUGUUCUCACUGAGCUCAUAAAUAAAUAGGUUUAUUGUUAACAAGUAGACUAGGCACAGAGUGUGACUGUGUUGACAGUUUAUGAGACUUUCUUUGGUCCUUGGCUCCCAAUAAAAGAAAUGUUGCAUUAA